CUUUCACCUUCCUCCAGCUGUGAGGAGGCCUCCAGCCACUGCUUCACCACUCGAAGACCCUCCUCUGCCAUCACCCGGGGAUACCUAUGGAGGAGCACCGGGACAGGAGGCUUUGCUGGGAGAUCCCUGCUGUGCCAGGCAUGAACCGACUAGCUGCCAGAUCAUGAGAAGAGGGGAACCAUCUCCAGUGAGAACGUCUUCCAGGUCCAGCCCACCUCUUCCCUCAAAGGCAGGCCUGGGAGCUGCACUCACUCCAGCUGUCUGGCAUGACUUUCAAGGCCAAGGGCACCAGGUCAUCAAAGGAGGCAUCCAGGAUCACGGCACUAAUGUCCGGGUAGGACAUGGCUGCCCACGUAGCUGGUACCAGGAAAGGAAAGAAAAGGACUUAAUGAACCAAUAUAUGUACCAGUUUUUCAACGUCUUUUGUUUGGUUUUUGGCUGUGCCAUGUGGCUUGUGGGAUCUUCCUUCCCCGACCAGAGACUGAACCCAUGUCCUCAGCAGAGAAAGUGUGGCGUCCUAACCACUGGACUGGCAGAGAACUCUCUUCUCUAACUAUAUUUACUGCAACCUUUUUUUUUUUUUUUUUUACUGCAACCUUUUAAAGAUACUUUAUAUCGUGGUCUAGGACACACAUAUGUACAUAUUCAUCUUGAAAGUUUUAUGAGAUAAUACUUUGUAUAUACGACAAGUAAAAGCAAAGUAAUUAACAAUUAUGAUUCUGUUAAUGUAUUUAUUAAAAGUCCCCAAAUAAAUAAUACUGUUUAUUAUGAUAUGCCCGGUUAUCUGCCAUGUAGUAGGUGCUGAGAGCCUAGCACAGGGUACUCUGAGCUUAAUAAAUAUUUCUUGAACAAAUGCACUAAUUUAGACACAUCAGAUGUGGCAGGUGCCACAUCCUUAAAAAGAUAGUUAACCAUGUCCAGUCAAUCCCAAAGGAGGAUCUGUCCCCAGAAAACACUACAAACCUGUCCAGCAUCCC